AUAUUAUGUAUGAAUUUCAGUCAACUGUGCUGUGAUGCAGAAAAGCGGCGCAGGUCUUCACACAGCCAACUCUUGUUACUGGGACACUACCACUGAUGGAAGCUGCACAGUCAGGUGGGAGAACCGCACCAUGUACUGCGUCGUCAGUGUGUUUGCAGUGGCUAUUGCGCUAUAAACAGGAAUCAGGGCUGAGACAUAAACAGAAACAAAAGGAUAAAAACACCUUCACUCACAUCCUCUGCUUCAACACUGGCUUAAAAUCAUGUUCAGCUUGUGUCAUGUUUUGCCUAAUCUAUAAAGUUUAAACUGUAUUGCAAAUGCCUGUCUACCACAUUGUGUUUAUUUGCCUUUUUUUGGACUUGCAAAGGUAACGUGCACCUUUGUUCUGUACAGGAUGAAAUGCAAAUAUGUUGAUGCUUAAUUAUUAAAGUUGUCUGAUUUGGGUUUAUCAAUC